UACGGAGGGUGCAAGCGUUAAUCGGAAUUACUGGGCGUAAAGCGCACGCAGGUGGCUGAGUCAGUCGAUUGUGAAAGCCCUGGGCUUAACCUGGGAAUUGCAGUCGAUACUACUCAGCUAGAGUAUGGGAGAGGGUAGUGGAAUUCCCGGUGUAGCGGUGAAAUGCGUAGAUAUCGGGAGGAACAUCAGUGGCGGAGGCGGCUACCUGGCCCAAUACUGACACUCAGGUGCGACAGCGUGGGGAGCAAACAGG
rnacentral:rRNA from 1 species